rnacentral:rRNA from 1 species
CCUACGGGAGGCAGCAGUGAGGAAUAUUGGUCAAUGGACGAGAGUCUGAACCAGCCAUGCCGCGUGAAGGAAGACUGCUCUAUGAGUUGUAAACUUCUUUUAUACAAGAGUAAACCUGUCUACGUGUGUUCUGCUGUAGGUACUGUACGAAUAAGGAUCGGCUAACUCCGUGCCAGCAGCCGCGGUAAUACGGAGGAUCCAAGCGUUAUCCGGAUUUAUUGGGUUUAAAGGGUGCGUAGGCGGAUUGUUAAGUUAGUGGUGAAAGGUUCGGGCUUAACCCUGGAACUGCAGUUGAUACUGGCAGUCUAGAGAGCAGUAGCGGUAGGCGGAAUGUAUGGUGUAGCGGUGAAAUGCUUAGAGAUCACACAGAACACCGAUUGCGAAGGCAGCUUAC